rnacentral:lncRNA from 1 species
GGAAAAGGCUCUGCGCUGAGACCACGACUCGCCCGCCGUUCCUGACCCGCUCACCGCGGCGCUGGAGGAGACAUCGAACCGUCACACAGCGUUUUUCGUGUUCCUGCAGUUAUGGCCAACUAAACUCCCGACCCGGACCGCGACACCGCACCCAUAGACCACAGAUGAUCCGAGGAGGCUGAGGACCCCGAUGAUCGAUGAGCUCCUCCACCAUGUGCACGCAGACAGGGGCUCGGGAGAGUUACCGCGGUACCAGUGGGGUUCGGCUCUGCAGCCUUUCUCGCAAAGGAAGUUUCCCCGAAGCUCAUCGCUCCUCCAGAGAGACGUAAGAACGGGCCGCGUUCACGACAUCCUCUUUGUCUCGGAGGUGAUGUCGAGCUCCGGUGAGAAACCGGAACUUUUGUCUUCGCCGAAAACUCAGCGCAGCAUCAAAGUACAGGUGGUGACUGAUGUGUCCGGUCGAGUCCCCUGUGCAAUACGGCCUCCUGCCACAAGGGGGCACAACUCUGCACAAAUUCCUCAUAGACUUGGUUGAAAAAAGCAAAUGAAACACUGC